ACCAUGACUUUCGCCAAUGGAUAUUUCGGCUCUCGCAUCGAUGAAGAGAGCAGCGAAAUGCGAUCCAUGGUGCGAAUUGCAGAAUCCCGUGACCCAUGGAGUCU
rnacentral:rRNA from 1 species